CCUACGGGAGGCAGCAGUAGGGAAUCUUCCGCAAUGGACGAAAGUCUGACGGAGCAACGCCGCGUGAGUGAAGAAGGUUUUCGGAUCGUAAAACUCUGUUGUAAGGGAAGAACACGUACGAGAGGAAAUGCUCGUACCUUGACGGUACCUUACGAGAAAGCCACGGCUAACUACGUGCCAGCAGCCGCGGUAAU
rnacentral:rRNA from 1 species